AUUCAGCAGGCGUGGCUUUCUUUGUUGGCCUAACGCAGCGCUCGGUCUAGCUGAAGGGGUAGUGGAGACAGUGCAGAUACCCCGGGAGUGGGUAGGUGUGUGCGGGGGUCAUAUAAAGGGCAUGAGGGGGGGAAGCAGGGGGGGAAGGGAGGGGGUCACUGAGUGUGUCUGCAUGGAGGUAAGAUAGAAUGCAGAGCCCGGGCCGCCAUGGUAACCAAUAAUAAUCAUAAUCAUAAUAAUAAUCAUAUAUAAAUAUAGAGAGAGAGAGAGAGAGAGAUACCAUGCACUGCCCCUCACUGACUCCAUCACAGGAAUAACUCACAUUAUAUAGAGCUAUUACAUGAACUGCCCCUCUCUGUCCCUCACUGACUCCAUCACAGGAAUAACUCACAUUAUAUAGAGAUAUUACAUGAACUGCCCCUCUCUGUCCCUCACUGACUCCAUCACAGGAAUAACUCACAUUAUAUAGAGAUAUUACAUGAACUGCCCCUCUCUGCCCCUCACUGACUCCAUCACAGGAAUAACUCACAUUAUAUAGAGAUAUUACAUGAACUGCCCCUCUCUGCCCCUCACUGACUCCAUCACAGGAAUAGCUCACAUUAUAUAGUGAUAUUACAUGAACUGCCCCUCUCUGUCCCUCACUGACUCCAUCACAGGAAUAACUCACAUUAUAUAGAGAUAUUACAUGAACUGUCCCUCACUGACUCCAUCACAGGAAUAACUCACAUUAUAUAGAGAUAUUACAUGAACUGCCCUCUCUGUCCCUCACUGACUCCAUCACAGGAAUAACUCACAUUAUAUAGAGAUAUUACAUGAACUGCCUCUCUCUGCCCCUCACUGACUCCAUCACAGGAAUAACUCACAUUAUAUAGAGCUAUUACAUGAACUGCCCCUCUCUGUGUCCUCACUGACUCCAUCCGGGGUACUCACGUAUAUGAGAUAUUACGCAGACUGCCCCUCUCUGCCCCUCACACAAGCUCCAUCACAGGAAUAACUCACAUUAUAUGAGAUGGCCAUGAACUGCCCCCUCUCUGCCCCCUCACUGGCUCCAUCACAGGAAUAACUCACAUUAUAUGAGAUAUUACAUGAACUGCCCCUCUCUGCCCCUCACUGAAAGGCUCCAUCACGGAAUAGCUCACGUUAUAUGAGUGAUAUUACAUGAACUGCCCUCGUCCCUCCAUUCCAUCACAGAACUCGUAUAUGGGAAUAUUUGCAUGAACUGCCCCUCUCUGUCCCUCACUGACUCCAUCACAGGAAUAACUCACAUUAUAUAGAGAUAUUACAUGAACUGCCCCUCUCUGUCCUUCACUGACUCCAUCACAGGAAUAACUCACAUUAUAUAGAGAUAUUACAUGAACUGCCCCUCUCUGCCCCUCACUGACUCCAUCACAGGAAUAGCUCACAUUAUAUAGAGAUAUUACAUGAACUGCCCCUCUCUGUCCCUCACUGACUCCAUCACAGGAAUAACUCACAUUAUAUAGAGAUAUUACAUGAACUGCCCCUCUCUGCCCCUCACUGAGUCCAUCACAGGAAUAGCUCACAUUAUAUAGUGAUAUUACAUGAACUGCCCCUCUCUGUCCCUCACUGACUCCAUCACAGGAAUAACUCACAUUAUAUAGAGAUAUUACAUGAACUGUCCCUCAUUGACUCCAUCACAGGAAUAACUCACAUUAUAUAGAGAUAUUACAUGAACUGCCCCUCUCUGUCCCUCACUGACUCCAUCACAGGAAUAACUCACAUUAUAUAGAGAUAUUACAUGAACUGCCUCUCUCUGUCCCUCACUGACUCCAUCACAGGAAUAACUCACAUUAUAUAGAGAUAUUACAUGAACUGCCCCUCUCUGCCCCUCACUGACUCCAUCACAGGAAUAACUCACAUUAUAUAGAGAUAUUACAUGAACUGCCCCUCUCUGCCCCUCACUGACUCCAUCACAGGAAUAACUCACAUUAUAUAGAGAUAUUACAUGAACUGCCCCUCUCUGCCCCUCACUGACUCCAUCACAGGAAUAACUCACAUUAUAUAGAGAUAUUACAUGAACUGCCCCUCUCUGUCCCUCACUGACUCCAUCACAGGAAUAACUCACAUUAUAUAGAGAUAUUACAUGAACUGCCCCUCUCUGUCCUUCACUGACUCCAUCACAGGAAUAACUCACAUUAUAUAGAGAGAUUACAUGAACUGUCCCUCUCUGUCCUUCACUGACUCCAUCACAGGAAUAACUCACAUUAUAUAGAGAUAUUACAUGAACUGCCCCUCUCUGUCCCUCACUGACUCCAUCACAGGAAUAACUCACAUUAUAUAGAGAUAUUACAUGAACUGUCCCUCACUGACUCCAUCACAGGAAUAACUCACAUUAUAUAGAGAUAUUACAUGAACUGACCCUCUCUGUCCUUCACUGACUCCAUCACAGGAAUAACUCACAUUAUAUAGAGAUAUUACAUGAACUGCCCCUCUCUGUCCCUCACUGACUCCAUCACAGGAAUAACUCACAUUAUAUAGAGAUAUUACAUGAACUGCCCCUCUCUGUCCCUCACUGACUCCAUCACAGGAAUAACUCACCUUAUAUAGAGAUAUUACAUGAACUGCCCCUCUCUGUCCCUCACUGACUCCAUCACAGGAAUAACUCACAUUAUAUAGAGAUAUUACAUGAACUGCCCCUCUCUGUCCCUCACUGACUCCAUCACAGGAAUAACUCACAUUAUAUAGAGAUAUUACAUGAACUGUCCCUCUCUGUCCUUCACUGACUCCAUCACAGGAAUAACUCACAUUAUAUAGAGAUAUUACAUGAACUGCCCCUCUCUGUGUCCCUCACUGGCUCCAUCUGGAACCAACUCACAUUAUGCCAGAGAUAUUACAUGAACUGCCCCUCACUGACUCCAUCACAGAGAUAACUCACAUUAUAUAGGGAAUAUUACAUGAACUGCCCCUCACUUUGUUGACUCCAUCACAGGAAUAACUCACAUUAUAUAGAGAUAUUACAUGAACUGCCCCUCUCUGUCCUUCACUGACUCCAUCAUAGGAAUAACUCACAUUAUAUAGAGAUAUUACAUGAACUGUCCCUCUCUGUCCCUCACUGACUCCAUCACAGGAAUAACUCACAUUAUAUAGAGUUAUUUGAACUGUCCCUCACUCACUCCAUCACGGAAUAACUCAUUACUCGCCUAGAGAUAUUACAUGGUUGCCCCUCUCUGUCCCUCACUGGCUCCAUCCACGGAAUAGCUCACAUUAUAUAUAGAGAUGUUACAUGAACUGCCCUCUCUGUGUCCCCACUGACUCCAUCCAGAGAUAACUCACAUUAUAUAGGAUAUUACAUGAACUGCCCCUCUCUGUCCCUCACUUCCAUCACAGGGAAUAACUCACAUUAUAUAGGAUAUUACAUAGACACUUACUCUCUGUCCCUCACUGACUCCAUCACAGGAAUAACUCACAUUAUAUAGAGAUAUUACAUGAACUGCCCCUCUCUGCCCCUCACUGACUCCAUCACAGGAAUAACUCACAUUAUAUAGAGAUAUUACAUGAACUGCCCUCUCUGUCCCUCACUGACUCCAUCACAGGAAUAACUCACAUUAUAUAGAGAUAUUACAUGAACUGCCCCUCUCUGUCCUUCACUGACUCCAUCACAGGAAUAACUCACAUUAUAUAGAGAUAUUACAUGAACUGCCCCUCUCUGUCCCUCACUGACUCCAUCACAGGAAUAACUCACAUUAUAUAGAGAUAUUACAUGAACUGUCCCUCACUGACUCCAUCACAGGACUAACUCACAUUAUAUAGAGAUAUUACAUGAACUGUCCCUCACUGACUCCAUCACAGGAAUAACUCACAUUAUAUAGAGAUAUUACAUGAACUGCCCCUCUCUGUCCUUCACUGACUCCAUCACAGGAAUAACUCACAUUAUAUAGAGAUAUUACAUGAACUGCCCCUCUCUGUCCCUCACUGACUCCAUCACAGGAAUAACUCACAUUAUAUAGAGAUAUUACAUGAACUGUCCCUCACUGACUCCAUCACAGGAAUAACUCACAUUAUAUAGAGAUAUUACAUGAACUGCCCCUCUCUGUCCUUCACUGACUCCAUCACAGGAAUAACUCACAUUAUAUAGAGAUAUUACAUGAACUGCCCCUCUCUGUCCCUCACUGACACACGAUACAACAAAAUAGGGCCUGGGCAGUAUCACAGUUUUCCAUCACCAUUAAUAAGCCACCUAUCCUGAAUCAGGAGAGAGGAGCUGAGGUUCUGUAGUCAGUCUAUUGCAGACUGACUCAAAUUAUUGCAGCUAAAAUUUACUAUUGUAGCUUCAGCCAGACUGUCAGCUGGGGCCACAUAUAGUGACCCAUUCUGGCUAGAUAGAUGCAUAAAAUGCUUUCAAAUCUACACAUGUCAAAUGACAUUGUGGGUCUAAAAAGAUCCCAAACAGAUCUCCUUGCAUCACACCUGUUCUGAUCACACAGUUUCUGAGUUUCUGUGCAGGUCUUUCCUUAUUCCCUGUGUCAUCCGAGUGAGAGGAGACUGCAUAGUGAGAGGUAGACUUAUAACAAGUGCUUUUGGAGCCAUUUUUGCUUCCUUUGAUUUUUUUUAAAUUUUUUUUCUUCUUUAUACCUGCCAUUAAUCUAUACAUAUAUGUGUUUUAUAUACAGAAUAUUCAAAUGUAAGCAAGCUCAUAAAAUUCCUCAAAUGAGACAUGGGCAUAAUAAAGCAAUGUGUGAACAUCAAAUAUUUGAAAACUGUACUUUGCCUUCACUUUUUGUUUUACAUGUAAAUUUAAGAAAACACCAAAGCAUGUCUGAUUAGUAUUACUGUAAUUUGGAGAUGCAACUUGAGCAUACAGUGCUGUUUAAUUUAAAGGACCACUAUGGGCACUUAGACCACUUCAGCUCAAUGAAGUGGUCUGGGUGCCAGGUCCACCUAGGGUUAACCCUGCUUGCUGUAAACAAAGCAGUUUCAGAGAAACUGCUGUGUGUACAUAGGGUUAAUCCAGCCUCUAGUGGCUGUCUCAUUGACAGCCGCUAGAGGCGCUUCCGAGUUUUUCACCGUGAGAAGACGCCAGCGUCCAUAGGAAAGCAUUGAGAAUGCUUUCCUAUGGACUGACUGCGCGCUGGAGGAAGGUGAGUGUUCAACCCCUUCCUCCUCCUUCAGCCCGGCAGGAGUGGGACCCUGAGGGUGGGGGCACCCUCAGGGCACUAGAGUGCCAGGAAAAAGAGUUUGUUUUCCUGGCACUAUAGUGGUCCUUUAACACUAAUGAUGCAGUUAGGGCAAAAUGCAACAAUUAAAGAAUGCCAACACACACGCUUGUAUGGCAUUUUUCAAUCAGAUGCACAUAGCUCUAUCGUGACAUUACCUGGUUUGUACACCUUUUAGGAAUGUGGUUGUUUUUUUGUUUUUUUUUAGGUUCACUGUAACAAACUUGUUUUAGGCAAAGUUAGGCCUAAAUUAAAGAGCAAAAAUGCUAAUUUAGAAGGGAUUCGUCACUCGUCUAGAAAUUCAAUCAUUAAACAAAACAUUGAAUGUCAUCAAAAAUGUAACCUUUUGUUUUUUCACGUGAUGCUCCGUUUUUCCAUAAAUUUUAUUCUAAAUAUUAAGCAGUUUGCCACAAGAUUUUAUUUUUUAAUUUUUAAUUUUUUUUUUUUACUAAAUUGCAAGGAUUUCAAAUUGAAUUUGAAAAACUGCUAGUAGAAGUAACUUGAAAGAUUUUUCCAAUUCAGCAAUUGUGGCCGAAAUUUUAAAAUUCACUUUCAGUUCCUGGCAUUGCUCAAUUUUAAUGAAUAACCCCACCAGCCUGCUUUGGUCCAGGCAGAGUCAGGGCACAGAAUGCAAAUGAGGAAGGUAAAUAGAAACCAUGCUUAUUUUGUUUGUCUUCUCUGUAUGCUUUCUUUAUACUGCUUGUCAGGUACAAAGGACACAGCUUAUAACAAUGAUUGACAGGGAGCUAAGAUGGAAGCACCAGCUUGCAGGAUGAAGAGGUGUGGGUUUCUACAUUUAAUUAUAUUUAUUUUUUCACACCUCACAAAUACAUAUGUGUUUAAGAUAUGGUAUCAGUAAACUGAGCAUGAAAAAUCCUGGUAUCUGACAGUUCCCAAUUAAAGCUCUGUCAAAACCUUUAUUUUUCCUGUAGCUUUCUAUUUCUAAACAAACUUAUUAUAGACAAUAUAUAAAUUUUUACCCAUACAUGCAUUGUAUGUAAAUCAUGCUAAAUAAGAAAUAAUUUAAAAUGGUAUCAAAUGAAAUAUGCAUUAUUAAAAUUGAGUAGACGAAACAUCAGGCUAGUGCCUAAAGCCCAGUUUCUGGAUAAGUAAAUUGCCCUAACCUUUUUAUGUCUUACUGCAGGAUGUAAUUUAUUUGAAGAACUGUAUUGCACCCACUGAGAGAAUUUUUUUUUUGCAAGAACUGGAAUCCAGUGUCCAAGUAAUCACAUGUGGUUUUUGUAAUCAAGUGCAAGAUGGAAGCCAAUGAGGAGGUCUCAGUUAAGACUCCAUGUAUGGAAUAUGAAAAUAGUGGACAGGUAAGGAGUUAUUAUUCUUCUCUCCUAAACAAACAUAGCGACACCUACAUGACUAGCCACCUGCAGACAUGUAAACACAUGCAUACAGAUUAUCUGUGCAUAACCUGCCACAUGCUCCCGCAUUAUUAGCAAUGUAAUCACAUAUCCUAGACACACUGCCAAAUUUGCACAGAAUUCACAUUCAGAGUUGCUUCGUUUCAGAUGUCCCUAAGUUAAAUGCUCUGUUUAGCCUGACCAAAUUGUGCUUAUAGGAAGAAGUGUUAAAGGAACGCUAUAUGGUCAGGAAUACAAAUGUGUAGUCCUGACCCUAUAGUGUUAAAAAUAAAAAAUAAAAAAAACACUUGUAACAGGACCUCUUUUAAAAAGAAUGAGAACUUACAUUUAUUCUAGUCUAGUGCCUUGUGCGUCUGCCAAUGCUGACUCCACCCACACUCUGCCCCCUUGGCUGACAUCAAAAUGAUGUGCUGCGCCAAUCGGCAUCUCCCUAUAGAGAUGCAUUGAAUCAAUGCAUCUAUAAGGGGAAAUUUCAAAGCCUACAUGCAGAGCGUGGAGACGCUAAACGAAUGUGCAGCACUGACACAGGAAGCACGUCCCAUAGCCGUCUGAGUGACUGCCACUGGAGAUAUCUCUAGGCACUAAUGUAAACACUGCCUUUACGCUGAAAUGUAGUGUUUACUGCAAAAGCCUGCAGGGACAUGUUAGAGACACCAGAACAACUACAUUAAGCUGUAAUUGUUCUGGUGACUAUAGUGUCCUUUUAAUUGAGAAGGCAACCAACAAUACGCCUGAUACAUGAAAGUUUGUGGCUUGUACAAUCACACAAAAUAUUAAAUCUUUUUCUCAAUUAGGGACAAAGCGAGGUUGAAGGUGUUGCUCUUUGUGUCUCGGAGGAGGAAUGGGAUGAUGUGAAAGAAGAUGAGGAACUUUACACAGUGAUAGUAGAAGGUGAUGAUGUGCCUCAGUCGCUUGGUAAGUCUCAAGUGG